CCUACGGGAGGCAGCAGUGAGGAAUAUUGGUCAAUGGGCGUAAGCCUGAACCAGCCAAGUCGCGUGAGGGAGGAAGGUACUAUGGAUCGUAAACCUCUUUUGUCAGGGAACAAAGUGUGGUACGUGUACCAGUAUGUAUGUACCUUAAGAAAAAGCAUCGGCUAACUCCGUGCCAGCAGCCGCGGUAAUACGGCAGAUUCGAGCGUUAUCCGGAUUUAUUGGGUUUAAAGGGUGCGUAGGCGGCCAUUUAAGUCAGCGGUGAAAGUCCGGGGCUUAACCCUAGACCCGCCGUUGAAACUGGGGGGCGUGAGUGGGCGAGAGGUAUGCGGAAUGCGUGGUGUAGCGGUGAAAUGCAUAGAUAUCGCGCAGAACUCCGAUUGCGAAGGCAGCAUGCCGGCCCCUAACUGACGCUGAGGCACGAAAGCGUGGGUAUCGAACAGGAUUAGAUACCCCUGUAGUC
rnacentral:rRNA from 1 species